UCGGAAUCACUGGGCGUAAAGGGUGCGUAGGCGGCACGGUAAGUCAGAGGGGAAAUCCCGGAGCUCAACUUCGGAAUUGCCUCCGAUACUGCCGUGCUUGAGGACUGGAGAGGAGAUUGGAAUUCACAGUGGAGCAGUGAAAUGCGUAGAUAUUGUGAGGAACACUAGUGGCGAAGGCGAAUCUCUGGACAGUUCCUGACGCUGAGGCACGAAGGCCAGGGGAGCAAACGGG
rnacentral:rRNA from 1 species